CUGCUCACUCCGGCAACACAUAUACUAAAUUGGAAUACAGAGAAGAUUAGUAUGGCCCCUGCACAAAGAUGACAUGUAAAUUCGUGAAGCAUUCCACAUUUUU
rnacentral:snRNA from 1 species